rnacentral:rRNA from 1 species
GACGAACGCUGGCGGCGUGCUUAACACAUGCAAGUCGAACGGUAAGGCCCUUCGGGGUACACGAGUGGCGAACGGGUGAGUAACACGUGGGUGAUCUGCCCUGCACUUCGGGAUAAGCCUGGGAAACUGGGUCUAAUACCGGAUAGGACUCCUGGCUUCAUGGUUGGGGGUGGAAAGCUUUUGCGGUGUGGGAGGGGCCCGCGGCCUAUCAGCUUGUUGGUGGGGUAAUGGCCUACCAAGGCGACGACGGGUAGCCGGCCUGAGAGGGUGACCGGUCACACUGGGACUGGGAUACGGCCCAGGCUCCUAGGGGGGGCAGCAGUGGGGAAUAUUGCACAAUGGGCGCAAGCCGGAUGCAGCGACGCCGCGUGAGGGAUGACGGCCUUCGGGUUGUAAACCUCUUUCAGCUAUGACGAAGCGCAAGUGACGGUAAUAGCAGAAGAAGGACCGGCCAACUACGUGCCAGCCGCCGCGGUAA